GUCGCCUGUUUAAUUGUCGGCUAUCCGGUGAACGAGUCAAUAACAGAUGGCAUGCAAAAGAAACGAGCAUUAUGUAGAUAAACAGUAAACUGCUGAGAAAAAAACAGUCUACGAAAACAAGCAAAUAGGCAACGACCGAAAUCGUCUUACACGCAUUUUGCUUCUGCGGUAUUCCUAAUUGUGAUCUAGUUGCAACUAAAAACAGGAUGAACGGCUAGUUUGCUAAUACGCGACGGCCCGCCAGCUUCGCUCGGUUGGACAUCGUUAUUCUUAGAUUUGUUGAGUAUUUUUCCAGCGAUGUACUUCGCCAUUUAUUAUUUCCUCGAUUCACGUUUACCAUCACAAUUGGUAUUGUAGUCGUAAUUGUCUAUCGUUGUUUUUUAUUGCUGAUUUCUAGAGAAUUACAUCGGGUCAAUCCGUUUUCUCCUCACGCAUAUAGAUAUAUCUAUAUAUAUAUAUAUAUACAUACGAUGAACUGCCUCACAGUGAAACUGUGCAAAUUAUUACACGAUCAUCCACUACAAUGCGUCUCUUCGUUAUCAAACAGAUUGAGUUUUGUCCGAUAGGCAGUCGUUAGCUCGACCACUGGGGAAAACGGAAGAUGGCACAAAUCAAUAGGAUUUGACUAAAAUUUACUAUCCUAUCACAGACGCUAAGUACUCUCAGUGGAAUGCCUCAGAACAUUUAGUUGGUAGGCAUAUAUUGGAUGUCCAACAAUGGUCGAUGUUCAGAAUCCCGGCCGAUUAGCCGGCCGGUUGAUUAACGUCCAAUCCGUCCCCGUGCGUCUAUCGUAGACAGGCAGGUGUUUUAGGUGGCCAAGAUCGGCAGGUAGCUGUUAGCGGUUUAGGUUGUGCUAGUUCUCGUGUGGUUUUUGAUCGACGCAUUGAGUUAUUCCGCUAACUAGAAGUUCGUCGGCGGUAACAGAUCGAAUGACUCAGAGUAAUCACUAAGUUACGUGUAAUUAGGCCAUAGAGUCACUCGGAUGGAGCUAUCGCACCAAACUGGAGCAGAUAUAAUCCUAUAAAGUAUAAAAUCAUUCGUACACUACAAUGGUAUUUAAUUGACGCUGCGCGGUUCAUGGUCAUUUACAUGCAUAAAUGGGAACAAUAGAUACAGCAAGGUCGAUUACAUGUGAAAACGUAUGUACGUAAAUACAGGCAGCCGUCCUCUUCUGUUCGCUGUCGUUUCGCCUUGUGUUUCGUUGCUAGCGGGAUUAUCGCCAACUAUGGUCAAAGAAUCUUCAACUCCGAAACUGGACACGAUCAUGCAGCUUCGCACCAAACAGCUAAAGCUGAAUUGGAAAAUGCUAGAACAAGGCGCUUCCUUUAAUCCAUACCAGCUGCACCAGCUCGACUACGCGGAGUGUCUGCCGCUAUACACGACUGACGGCCAGAUCAACAACCACGCGUAGAAAUCUAUACAAGUUCAAGAUGUAGAGGAUUUGCUAAAUUCAAUACAAUGUUUCAACCAUACUCCGGAUACAAAUAGCGGUGUGUUAGCUUACGGUGGAUUGGAGACAAGACAUUGAACUCGUUGAGGUUUUCACAAAAAUCUUCCUUCUUCAACCUAAUUGUUAAGACGCCGUUGUGCACCGCACCGCUGUUCCGGUAACUUAUUUUGUCGAGCAGGCGCAACGUCUUAAGCAUUCUGCUACUGGAAACGGCUCAAGCUGCCAAAUCAGAAUCAAAGAACAGCCUGCAAAAACGACGAAUUUAAAAGACGAUAUAAAAUUUUGUUUACAUCGAUGCGAAAAGUUUACGCCUUCGGAAAUGGGUCCACUAAGAACUUUAAUAAAUAUACGUUUUGAAACAGGUUA